UGGGGAAUUUUGCGCAAUGGGGGCAACCCUGACGCAGCAACGCCGCGUGGACGAUGAAGGCCUUCGGGUUGUAAAGUCCUGUUGGGCGGGAAGAAAUGUGGGGCCGCGAACAACGGCUCCACCUGACGGUACCGUCCGAGAAAGCCCCGGCUAACCCCGUGCCAGCAGCCGCGGUAAUACGGGGGGGGCGAGCGUUAUUCGGAAUCACUGGGCGUAAAGCGCACGUAGGCGGCCUCGCAAGUCUUGCGUGAAAUCCCACAGCUCAACUGUGGAACUGCGUUUGAAACUGCGGGGCUAGAGUCCGGGAGAGGAUGGUGGAAUUCCCAGUGUAGCGGUGAAAUGCGUAGAGAUUGGGAGGAACACCUGUGGCGAAGGCGGCCAUCUGGACCGGUACUGACGCUGAGGAGCGAAAGCCAGGGGAGCAAACGGGAUAGAUACCCCGGUAGUCCUGGCUGUAAACGAUGGGAACUUGGUGUAGCGGGUAUCGACCCUGCUGUGCCGAAGCU
rnacentral:rRNA from 1 species